GACAGAGGGUGCAAACGUUGCUCGGAAUUACUGGGCGUAAAGCGCGUGUAGGCGGAUCGGAAAGUUGGGUGUGAAAUCCCUCGGCUCAACCGAGGAACUGCGCCCAAAACUACCGUGCUCGAGGGAGAUAGAGGUGAGCGGAACUUAGGGUGGAGCGGUGAAAUGCGUUGAUAUCCUAAGGAACACCCGUGGCGAAAGCGGCUCACUGGGUCUUCUCUGACGCUGAGGCACGAAAGCUAGGGGAGCGAACGGG
rnacentral:rRNA from 1 species